rnacentral:misc_RNA from 1 species
GCCUGUUCGAGCGUCAUUUACACCAUCAAGCCUAGCUUGGUCUUGGACGCGGUCGAGUGACCCGUCCGUAACCCGUUGGCGGUACAGUCCGGCUUCAAGCGUAGCAAAAAUUUCGCUUCAGGAGUCCGCGGCGGUGCCCGCCAGGUAAUUACAUCUCAAAGUUUGACCUCGGAUCAGGUGAGGAUACCCGCUGAACUUAA